rnacentral:rRNA from 1 species
GACGAACGCUGGCGGCGUGCCUAAUACAUGCAAGUAGAACGCUGAAGGAGGAGCUUGCUCUUCUGGAUGAGUUGCGAACGGGUGAGUAACGCGUAGGUAACCUGCCUGGUAGCGGGGGAUAACUAUUGGAAACGAUAGCUAAUACCGCAUAACAGUAGAUGUUGCAUGACAUUUACUUAAAAGGUGCAAUUGCAUCACUACCAGAUGGACCUGCGUUGUAUUAGCUAGUUGGUGGGGUAACGGCUCACCAAGGCGACGAUACAUAGCCGACCUGAGAGGGUGAUCGGCCACACUGGGACUGAGACACGGCCCAGACUCCUACGGGAGGCAGCAGUAGGGAAUCUUCGGCAAUGGACGGAAGUCUGACCGAGCAACGCCGCGUGAGUGAAGAAGGGUGUCGGAUCGUAAAGCUCUGUUGUAAGAGAAGAACGAGUGUGAGAGUGGAAAGUUCACACUGUGACGGUAGCUUACCAGAAAGGGACGGCUAACUACGUG